rnacentral:rRNA from 1 species
UCCAGACUCCUACGGGAGGCAGCAGUGAGGAAUAUUGGUCAAUGGUCGGGAGACUGAACCAGCCAAGCCGCGUGAGGGAUGAAGGUACAGAGUAUCGUAAACCUCUUUUGUCAGGGAACAAAGGCGGGGACGUGUCCCCGGAUGAGUGUACCUGAAGAAAAAGCAUCGGCUAACUCCGUGCCAGCAGCCGCGGUAAUACGGAGGAUGCGAGCGUUAUCCGGAUUUAUUGGGUUUAAAGGGUGCGCAGGCGGUCUGUAAAGUCAGGGGUAAAAGCCCGGCGCUCCCCCCCGGCCCGCCGUUGAAACUGGCAGUCCCGAGUUGGAGAGAAGUAUGCGGAAUGCGCGGUGUAGCGGUGAAAUGCAUAGAUAUCGCGCAGAACUCCGAUUGCGAAGGCAGCAUGCCGGCUCCACACUGACGCUGAGGCACGAAAGCGUGGGUAUCGAACAGGAUUAGAUACCCGCGUACC